UACGUAGGGGCCGAGCGUUGUCCGGAGUUACUGGGCGUAAAGCGCGCGCAGGCGGCUCGUCAAGCCUGACGUGAAAGCCCCCGGCUCAACCGGGGAGGGUCGUCGGGGACUGGCGGGCUUGAGGUCGGCAGGGGUUGGUGGAAUUGCUGGUGUAGCGGUGAAAUGCGUAGAGAUCAGCAGGAACACCCGUGGCGAAGGCGGCCCCCUGGGCCGUACCUGACGCUGAGGCGCGAAGGCUAGGGGAGCGACCCGG
rnacentral:rRNA from 1 species